UAAAUUGAGAGUUUGAUCCUGGCUCAGGAUGAACGCUGGCGGCGUGCUUAACACAUGCAAGUCGAGCGAUGAAGUUUCCUUCGGGAAACGGAUUAGCGGCGGACG
rnacentral:rRNA from 1 species